AAUGAACGCUGGCGGCGUGCUUAACACAUGCAAGUCGAAUGAGAACGGGUUAUAGCUUGCUAUAAUUGUCAGCUAAGUGGCGCACGGGUGAGUAAUGUAUAGGUAAUAUGCCUCUUACUAAGGGAUAACAAAUGGAAACGUUUGCUAAUACCUUAUACUCCUUAUUAACAUAAGUUAAUAAGGGAAAGAUUUAUUGGUAAGAGAUUAGCCUGUAUUGUAUCAGUUAGUUGGUGGGGUAAUGGCUUACCAAGACUAUGACACAUAACUGGUUUGAGAGGAUGAUCAGUCACACUGGAACUGAGACACGGUCCGGACUCCUACGGGAGGCAGCAGUGGGGAAUAUUGCACAAUGGACGAAAGUCUGAUGCAGCAACGCCGCGUGGAGGAUGACACAUUUCGGUGCGUAACCUCCUUUUAUAUGAGAAGAUAAUGACGGUAUUAUAUGAAUAAGCACCGGCUAACUCCGUGCCAGCAGCCGCCGCCG
rnacentral:rRNA from 1 species